rnacentral:rRNA from 1 species
GACGAACGCUGGCGGCGUGCUUAACACAUGCAAGUCGAACGGAAAGGCCCUGCUUUUGUGGGGUGCUCGAGUGGCGAACGGGUGUGUAACACGUGAGUAACCUGCCCUCGACUUUGGGAUAACUUCAGGAAACUGGGGCUAAUACCGGAUAGGAGCUCCUGCUGCAUGGUGGGGGUUGGAAAGUUUCGGCGGUUGGGGAUGGACUCGCGGCUUAUCAGCUUGUUGGUGGGGUAGUGGCUUACCAAGGCUUUGACGGGUAGCCGGCCUGAGAGGGUGACCGGCCACAUUGGGACUGAGAUACGGCCCAGACUCCUACGGGAGGCAGCAGUGGGGAAUAUUGCACAAUGGGCGGAAGCCUGAUGCAGCAACGCCGCGUGCGGGAUGACGGCCUUCGGGUUGUAAACCGCUUUCGCCUGUGACGAAGCGUGAGUGACGGUAAUGGGUAAAGAAGCACCGGCUAACUACGUG